UUACCGGCACCUGGUCAGGAGCACCCGGGGAUUUGGAAUCUCUACUAUUGCGGGACAACAGGAAAGGGUAAGGCAUUAGCUGAUCAGCCAUGAGUUUCAGGAGCAGGGCGAAGAAUGUACAUGUUCAUGCCACUUCAGACCAAGCGGGUUAUGGGUCUAAUAGUGUUGACUUUUGUAUUCUGUUUUGCCACUUAGGUCGGCUAGUAAGAAAGAACUUGUAAUAAGUUUGUAAAUAUUUUUGGGAUCCCAACUAUUUUGAAAAGUUUAAAUAUAUUACAAGUUUAUUUUCAUUC